rnacentral:rRNA from 1 species
CCUGGCGGCCUUAGCGCGGUGGUCCCUCCUGACCCCAUGCCGAACUCAGAAGUGAAACGCCGUAGCGCCGAUGGUAGUGUGGGGUCUCCCCAUGCGAGAGUAGGGAACUGCCAGGC